UGCCUUUUGUGUUACCCACUUAAUUCUCAAUAGAUAAGUGUGGCGUCAAAAAAGGCGUACAUUAACCUCAGCUGUUCCAGCGAUUCUGUUGCUGUUGUGCUUCAGUAUAUUGCGAUUUGGCUGAAACACAC